ensembl:lncRNA
UAGGCAUUUUGGAAUUACUAAUACCCAGGUAUAAAAAUAACUGAAUAUUUCUUCUAAUGACAGUGUGAUUCAGAAUCAUUCAAAAUUGCAUAGUGUAGCACAAUCAUAGAGGAAAGAGAAGUUUUUGUUGGGGAACAUGAAUCCAGAAACAUGUUAUAAAAUAUGCUUAUUUUUAAUAGGUGGAUUUGUAUGUGGGGAUCUAAAUUUAUUUUUACUUUGUUAUAAGAUGCUCAAAAAGCAAAAGUGCCAAUUGGCAAAACAAAAUAAAGCAAAAAGGAAACUAAAUAAAGCAAAGACAAAACUAUUUAUUGAUUGGUGAGACCCAAUUUUGAAAGGAAUGAAUAUCUGAUACUUUAGAUUUCAAUCAGUGUGAUACACCAUAUUAACAAACUGAAGAAUAAAAACCAAAUGUCAUCUCAAUAGAGGCAAGAAAAUAUUUUGACAAAAUUCAACACCCAUUUCUGAUAAAACCCUCAGAAAAUAGGCAUAGAGGAAACCUACUUCAACAUAUAAAGGCCAUAUAUGACAAAGCCACAGCUAACAUCAUUCUCAAUGGUGAAAAGUUGAAAGCAUUUCUGCUAAGAUUAGGAAGAGGACAAGGAUAUCCACUUUAAAUACUUUUAUUCAACGUAAUUUUGGAAGUCCUGGCCAUAGCAAUCAGAGAAGGAAAAGAAAUAAAAGGAAUUCAAAUUGAAAAAGAAGUGGAAUUGUCACUCUUUGCAGAUGACAUGAUACCAUAUGUAGAAAAUCCUAAAAAUACUGCCGGAAAACUACUAGCAGUCAUCAAUGAAUUUGGUAAAGUUGCAGGAUACAAAAUUAAGACAGAAGUCUCUUGCAUUCCUAUACACUAGCAAGAAAAGAUAAGAAAGAAAAACAAAGGAAACAAUCCCACUUACCAUUGCAUCAAAGAGAAGAAAAUACCAAGGAACAAACCUACCUAAAGAGGCAAAAGACCUGUACCUGAAAACUAUAAGACGUUGAUGAAGGAAAUUGAAGAUGACACAAACAGAUGGAAAGAUAUACCAUACUCUUGGAUUGGAAGAAUCAUAUUUUAAAUGACUGUACUACCCAAGGCAAUCUACAGAUUCAGUGAAAUCCCUGUAAAAUUACUAAUGGCAUUUUUCACAGAACUAGGACAAAAAAACCUUUAUGGAAACUCAAAGGACCCAGAAUAACCAAAACAAUCUUGCAAAAGAAAAACAGAGCUAGAGGAAUCAGGCUCCCUGACUUCAGACUGUACUUCAUAGCUAGAGUCAUUAAAACAAUAUGGUACUGGCACAAAAACAGAAGUAUAGAUGAGUGAAACAGGAUAGAAAGCCCAUAAAUAAACCCAUGCACCUAUAGUCAAUUAAUCUAUGACAGAAGAGCCAAGAAUAUGCAAUGGAGAAAAGACAAUCUUUUCAAUAAUUGGUUCUGGGAAAACUGGACAUCUACAUGUAAAAAAAUGAAAUUAGAACAUUCUCAUUGCCAUUUUAAGCCUAGUUUUCCAGUUGACUCUAUGUUUCUCUUUUCUUUUCUUUUUUUGGCUGGAUGGUUUCCACUUAUUUUAUACUUGAGAACUUUACAGUUUUUGUGAAUGUAAUGUUUGGCUUUGAAUUGUGGUUGCCCUGUUUUUUAAGUAUGUUAACACCUUCCUAUAUCUGCUUUCUUUAGCCUGAUAAUCGUAUAGGCUCAAACACAUCAUUAAG